GCCGACACGGUAGCACAGUUGGCUAGAGGACACGGCUAGUCACCGUAUAUCCCUCCUGAGUUCGAGACUCAGCUGCGGCA